rnacentral:rRNA from 1 species
UAGGGAAUCUUCGGCAAUGGGGGGAACCCUGACCGAGCAACGCCGCGUGAGUGAAGAAGGUUUUCGGAUCGUAAAGCUCUGUUGUUAAGGAAGAACGAGUGUGAGAAUGGAAAGUUCAUGCUGUGACGGUACUUAACCAGAAAGGGACGGCUAACUACGUGCCAGCAGCCGCGGUAAUACGUAGGUCCCGAGCGUUGUCCGGAUUUAUUGGGCGUAAAGCGAGCGCAGGCGGUUAGAAAAGUCUGAAGUGAAAGGCAGUGGCUCAACCAUUGUAGGCUUUGGAAACUGUUUAACUUGAGUGCAGAAGGGGAGAGUGGAAUUCCAUGUGUAGCGGUGAAAUGCGUAGAUAUAUGGGGGAACACCAGUGGCGAAGGCGACUCUCUGGUCUGUAACUGACGCUGAGGCUCGAAAGCGUGGGUAGCAAACAGG